CCACCGCUUCACCCUCUGACCCAUCAGCCGGCGUUGAAGAACAGAAACUGAAAUUGGGAGGGAAAGGUCACACACGCGCCGACGAGACUGCCGGAAAGGUGCGCCUCUCCCUCAGAAAUUAAAAAGCGGCUAGGGUUGCAAGAGAGAGGAGAGAGCGAUUUCUAAUGGGCCUCUCAAAGGCUUUUUUUAGCAUUUCUCUUUUCAAAUAAGUUUUACUCUUGUGCUUUGCUCUACUACUCAAGCUUAUCUCUUCUACUACUUGUGUUCUGUUCUUGUGCUCAAGUUUAUCUCUGCUUCUUGUGCUCCGUUCUACACAACACAAGGUUAUCUCUGAUAUUCUCAUUCCCCCAGCGACUUACCAUAGAGACAUCACCCUACGAGAUGUUUAUGAAGAACACAAACUCAAAUGGAGUGUGUAACGAGAAGGCCUAACUAGGAAAGUGAUCCGAUCCCUCACAUUCCAUGUUCUUGAAGGUGCAGAUGGAGUAAUGAUGGAGGGAGAAUGUUACAGAACAGAGAAGUCCGAAUGAACUAUGUGUGACGAAUGCUUGUAAGAGAUAUGUGAUGAUCGGAUGUAAAUGUAGUGUAUAUAUGUGUGUGAUGGCUGGUAAAGAUGUAUAGAUGAAUGUGUAGGUUGUGGAUGUGGGUUCUAGAUGAAUGUGCAGGAUGUGGAUGUAAAUGAAUGUGUAGGAUGUGGAUAUGGAUGUUAUAGAUGAAUGUGUAGGAUAUGGCUAUGUAU